rnacentral:rRNA from 1 species
GUGGGGAAUAUUGGACAAUGGGCGAAAGCCUGAUCCAGCAACGCCGCGUGAGGGAUGACGGCCUUCGGGUUGUAAACCUCUUUCAGCAGGGACGAAGCGAAAGUGACGGUACCUGCAGAAGAAGGACCGGCCAACUACGUGCCAGCAGCCGCGGUAAUACGUAGGGUCCGAGCGUUGUCCGGAAUUAUUGGGCGUAAAGGGCUCGUAGGCGGUUUGUCACGUCGGAAGUGAAAACUCAGGGCUCAACCCUGAGCGUGCUUACGAUACGGGCAAACUAGAGGUAUGCAGGGGAGAACGGAAUUCCUGGUGUAGCGGUGGAAUGCGCAGAUAUCAGGAGGAACACCGGUGGCGAAGGCGGUUCUCUGGGCAUUACCUGACGCUGAGGAGCGAAAGCAUGGGGAGCGAACAGGAUUAGAUACCCUAGUAGUCC